UGCGUGUGACGGACAGACAGACAGACAGACAGACGGACAGACAGACAGACAGUAAACCGACUUUAAUAAGGUUUUGUGUUUACACAAAACCUUAAAAACCGGCUUCGCCAUAAAACGAUUUAAACGUAAAUAUUUGGCCACUGUUACAGUAUCUAUAUCAAAUAUUAACAUGAGCUGUCGCAUGCACAUAAUUUUCAAUUUGACUUGAACUGUCUGUAAAUGAUUCAUCUAAUGCAUCAAUAAAAUCUGUAAAAAUGAACAAAUAUGCAGGACUUCAUCGUUUUUCGCAGAAGCCGGUUUUUUAAAACUGCACCAAAAUAACAAUUUAAAAUUUUGCCGUAAAGGUAAUUAUUCAACACGAAAAAUACCAAAAAACAAAAAAUAAAGGAAACACUUCACAAACACGUUCGCCACUCAUAUUUUCUAUGACAUCUGUUUGAUAUUUCCUAUGCUAAAUUCGGCCGUUUUUUCCUCUGCUUAACGGAAAUUUAACGGGACUAUCAGGGAGGAACAUUUCAUAAUGUACGCCCAAUAUGCGGUCGCAUUCAAUUCACAAGGGGCAAUUUCAAGUACAUCGAGGCAUAUGCUCGUUAUAGCUAUAGAGAUUGUGACACGCGCAUCUGUCAAAAUUUCAUGUUGUCGUGAAACCCCUCCGCCACUUGUAGCGGACAAAAUUUUGUUCGUUAAACAAGUGCCAUGAAAUUAGUUUGAAAUUGAAAGUGAAGUGCUGCCGCAAGGAUAAAUUUAAUACGGCUACGGUUACUGGUGACGCGGGAGAAAAGGCUUGAGAAGAAAAACAACCAAACGAUAGUUGAACAAAUCUUACAAAAGAAUAGAGAAGAAAUCAUCGAUGAAGAUAAACAAAUAGAGGAACUUUUGCGGUGUGAUUUUGCUAAAUGUACGCUGAACGAAGAACUAGAAGAGGCAAGAAUGAUAAUGUCAGUAGGAAAACUCAAUUGAAAAAAGGAAUGUCCCUCAUUUAUAAUUUCUUUAAUUGGAUGUUGAACAGAAGCUAUUUGAAACAUAGUUUGAUUCAGCACAAAUUCACUGAACAGUUUUGUAAUUACAGUAUAUAUUGUUUAUCACGACAUCGGAUAUAAGGACAUAUCGGUUUUUUACGACGAAUUUUAAAAGUCCUGGCCAGAAAGAGUACUUUUGUAUGUGUGACAAUUAAGCGACGAAUUGGUUGAAUUUGAAUCUUAUAAUGACGGACUCAUGAGCCAAGGAAGGAAUCAUCAGAUUACGGGAACUACCGAGUUAUAAAAAUUCAGCGCGAUAGAACGUAUGCAAUCAAUUCAGUGUUGCAUCAAUUUUCCUGAUGUAGGUAAAUGACUGGUUUGACGUUCUAAAUGUAAGAGUCCCAAGCACUGAUUGCAGAGAAAUAGUGAAAGCGUUCGACCUAACAGAUCAAGUGCAGAGUAAAAUCAAAACGGAGAUGAACCGGACAAUGCAAGAUAUGCAAGUAAAGGGAAAGAUAAGACUAAUCCCUUUCCAAAAAGGUAUCUUGCAAACGAACAAAGCAUUUGUCGAGCUGUUCAACUAUUUGCAGCAGUAAUACGAUACGAAGAAUAUCCUUACCUAUCGGUUAAAUCAGGAUGUUUUGGAAAACUUCUUUUCGAUUAUAAGAAGUAAAGGCGGUCUUAACGAUCAUCCUGAUCAGUUGUAAUUCAAAUACAGACUCCAACUCUAUGUUAUGGCCCAAAACGAAGGAGUCGUGUCCAAUUCGGUUAACACCGACAUAGACGACACUCCUGACUUGGAUCCUGCCGUUGGAGGUAACCUCUUUAACAGAGCCUCUACCACUGAAAGAAAUUCAACGGGAUGAUUUCAGCGAGUUAGUACGAUGGACUCGAAAACUUAACCGGCUUCUUUUGCCAUAAAAUGAAGACCUUAGAUUCGGAGAUUUCAGCGGACGAACUACAACGACUAGGCGCACCAUUUUUCCGAGGGAGGAUUAUCUAAGCCCAUUGAGACUUUCAUGGAGACCAACCAAAACAACUAUGUAUAUCACCACAUCUGGUUUUCUUUAAUUCAUGCACAUAUGUCAUUGCUGUUUAGUGCUGAUAAUGCUGCCCGAUUGUCGAAACAGAUUCGAAUGGUGCGACCCUUCCAUUUUUGUCGCAAAUAUUCUUCUGCUGCCAAUGAAAUGGCGCAUACCUCCGAGAGGUCGGGCUAGUUCCAUAAUCGGGUUUCCUGAGAAUACCCCUGCACUCGAUCCAUCUAAGAUGACUUACCUGCCGAUGAUAAUCAUCCUGUGAUCCGAAAAGACUCGUGGUGGUUACGGCUGUGCAUGUUUUUUCGAAGACGAAUGUGGAAACUAUAUGAACGGCGCGCAUCAGAGCCACAUGAUGUUUGCAAAGGAAUUUCCAGAUGAACACAUGAUUGUAUGAUUGGUCGCCUUUCCACGCGCCAAUGGUGUCAAACUUAUAUGCGCCGUUAGUUGCUUUCCGUUCCACCUCCAAAUGAAUGGGGCGCUCCAGUAAUACUUAGGCAGCCAAGCCUCUGGAUUCCUGAUAUUAACAAAGUUCAGUCUUGGCAACCGGACGAUGUAAGUUAUCAUCAAAAUGGGUUUUGUUAUGGAUGCAUACAUCUAAUGUUUUGCCUAUCCUGCAGCACCAGAGCAAUCAGCAGGAUUUCGGGUAUCGUUAGUGGAUAUGGUGCUUUCAUGUAAAUUUGGAGUCGAAAUGUACUCCUAAAUAUUAUAUUUGACUGUUUGUACCAGCUGGAUUUCCGCUCCUGGUGAGGUGGGUAGCAUGUAGAUUUAGAGCAUCCAUUCCUCCAAGAAUAAUGCCAUCCGGACCCACAGACGAGUUAAAUGUCCAUUUCACUCGUCCCAGCAAUACUACUUUGCGUUCUAGAAUCCAAUCUUUCAGUUAAGAGCUGAGCUGAAGAGCUGUUUGUGUACAAAGUGCACUUUUUUAUCUAAAACAGGUUGCUCAUAGCAAUAUAUUUCUUACAUGUGCAAUCCGAUAUCAUAAUUGCUGUCAUCGAAUUGCAUAAGUCUUAAAUGUUAAUU